CUACGGGGUGCAGCAGUCGGGGAACUUUUGCAAUGCACGAAAGUGUGACAAAGCAAGCCAGAGUGUUUCUUUUAUUAAAGAAACUUUUGUCAGCUGUAAAAAGGCUGACGAAUAAGGACUGGGUAAGACCGGUGCCAGCCGCCGCGGUAAUACCGGCGGUCCGAGUCGCAGCCAUCAUUAUUGGGUCUAAAACAUCCGUAGCUUGUUUUACAAGUCUCUUGUGAAAUCUGACAUCUCAAGUGUCAGGCGUGCAAGAGAUACUGUAUCACUAGAGACCGGAAGACGUAAGGAGUACGCCAAAGGUAGUGGUAAAAUACGUUAAUCUUUGUUGGACUAACAAUGGCGAAGGCACCUUACGAGGACGGAUCUGACAGUGAGGGAUGAAGGCCAGGGGCGCAAAACGGAUUAGAUACCCUGGUAGUC
rnacentral:rRNA from 1 species